UAUCAAUCUAUGAUCGCUGAAGUGACUUGAAAAAUACACGAUAGGGAUCUUUACUAGCUCCUCCCACAUCAAUACUAAUCAACUUGUUGACAUCUAUAUCCUUGAUCAUUUUCAAAUGAGGAAAAAAAUGAAAAAAAAAUGGUGGGACUGUGGAGGGAUGAUAAUGAAUAAAUUAAUUAAAGUUUAGAGAAACGAAUGAAAACAACCUCUCAACGGCCACCUCUAUCUUCACAAAAAGUUAAAAACAAAAAUCAAACGAAAAUGGAGGGAAGGAAGAGGCUGAGGUGCAACAGAUUGUAUUUCUUCAUCAAGCAAAAUGUUCCACCACCAACUUUCCACUACAUCACCCAAAGGUAAGCAACCAAUACCAACUUUCUCCCUUCAUUGCUUUUCCUUUUUCUUCAAGUAAAUCUCUCCUCACCUCUUCAAUUUUCAGGUUGUUGAAAGAUGUAGUUGAGUAUUCUCCUCAUCUACCUUACCUAGUUUGCUCAAUGCGUACUCAUCAGAUCAUUCUCUUAGUAUCAGCUCUUCUCUUUUUUGCAGACUAUACUUCAUAAUCUUUUCUAUUUUCACAAUAUUUUUCUUCAGCCAAAAACUCUAGAGCUUAGCCUAAUCUGCACUGAUUUCUGCCGAGUGAUCAGUUGAGUCAAGAAACAUCUCUUACUCCCAGGGUUUCCAUGAAAUAUCUCUAUCCAGUUGUCUGUUCCAGAUAAUUCAAUUCAUUUAAAUCCUGAAAACAGAGGUUAAUUCCAUACAAGGAAGAAACAUUAUGCCUUUUGGGUUGGUCUCCUCGUGGAAGAAGCGCCGGAGAAGCAAGUCCCAAGAUCACACAGAUCCCUGUACAUUCUUCUUCUAUUUCUUCAUUUGAUAGCAUAAAAAUAAGUUCCUCACCAUGUUCUUUCAACCUAUUUUUUCCAUAAGUAGUUUCAUAGUUUGAAUGUGCGCCUACCUUAUUUCCAGGGGUUUAUAAACCUGUAGAGUUUUGGCAACUCAAGGAUCAAACUCCCCAGGCAACAAAACGACAGCAUGGAUCUUCAGUUUUCACACUCAAGGAAAUGGAGGAGGCAACUGGCUCUUUUAGUGAUGAACAAAUGCUUGGAAAAGGAGGAUUUGGUAGAGUUUACCGGGGCACUCUGCGGUCAGGAGAGGUAUGUUGGAGCAAUGGAUUGUCAUUUACAGCAACAAAAUUGAUGAAAAUGAAAUAAUUCACAAAUAUAGUCUAAAAUUCAGAACACCCCAAAUAGACGAACAACACUAAUAUAAUUUUGUUUCAGAACAAAAAUUUCAGUGAAUCGAUUAAAUUCCAGAAUAUAAAACAGGAAAAUAGUUAAGAGUUGUUAAUCAUCAAUACCACAUAAUAGGAAUACAAACGAACUUGCUUCUCUUCUGCAAUAUAAAGGUUGUAGCAAUCAAGAAAAUGGAGUUGCCACCAUUUAAAGAAGCUGAAGGAGAACGAGAGUUUCGUGUAGAAGUUGAUAUCUUGAGCAGGCUCAACCACCCAAAUCUGGUAUCCUUGAUAGGAUAUUGCGCUGAUGGGAAGCACAGGUUUCUAGUGUAUGAAUAUCUGCAAAAUGGGAAUCUGCAAGAUCACUUAAAUGGUUGGUAUUACUCAAAAUCCUUUUCUCAUGUUAAACUUAUUAAAUUGUCACAUCUAGCAAUUGCAAAUUUUUCUAGGAAUUGGGAAUGCAAAAAUGGAUUGGCCCUUGAGGCUUAAAGUGGCACUUGGAGCAGCAAGGGGACUCGCUUAUCUCCAUUCCAGUUCUGCAGUUGGGAUUCCAAUUGUUCACAGAGAUUUUAAAUCCACUAAUGUUCUCCUAAAUGCCAAUUUUGAUGCCAAGGUAAAUAACCUUGAAGCUUUUUGUACUCUCAACUGAAACUCAUCAAAAGUUUCACUCCCACAUAACCAGGGAACUUUCUUAAAAAAUACAGCUAAUAAAUAGUUCUAAACCCAAUAUAAUGAAAAUUUGUAGCUAAACUUCAUAUUUUUAUUUUUCAUAGAUUUCUGAUUUUGGGCUUGCUAAGUUGAUGCCAGAGGGCCAUGAGACAUAUGUGACAGCUAGGGUUCUGGGCACAUUUGGCUAUUUUGACCCGGAGUAUACAUCGACAGGGAAACUCACUUUACAAAGUGAUGUUUAUGCAUUUGGAGUGGUUCUUCUUGAGCUUUUGACAGGACGCAGAGCUGUAGACUUAAGUCAGGGACCAACUGAUCAAAACCUUGUACUACAGGUUAGGCAUAUACUGAAUGAUCGGAAGAAGUUACGUAAGUUGAUAGAUCCAGAUCUAAGUCGGAAUUCAUACACAAUGGAAUCUAUAGCCAAGUUCGCAAACCUGGCAUCACGUUGUGUCCGUAUUGAGAGCAGCGAGAGACCCUCCAUGACUGAAUGCGCAAAAGAACUCCAAAUGAUAAUCUAUACAAAUUCAAUAGCCUUGGGCACACCAUUGCGUACAUUCAAAAUGGUCAAAUAGCCCCUGACGUAUUAUCAGCAGACAAACUGUUUACAUCAGUGGUAAAGGUUCUUUAUUUUCUUUCAUUUGGUUGCUGAAUUGGAAGCUGUGGCACCUAGGAUUUUAAAAAAUACAACAGAGACGGAUGCAUAGUAAGAAAGAAAUCUAGUAAUUGUUAGUGAUACAAGAAAUAAAAUGAAGAUCUAGGAGGAGGAUUUUUCAGCUACGAGCUUGAACCUUAAAAAUAGAAAUUAAGAGGACCACAUCCAGAAGGAAACAUUCACUUGUAUGUAUCGCUAGUGUAGCAUCAACAUCUUAGUUCAGAUUUUUUUUCCCCACUUAUUAAAGACUUCUAUAUGAAUAUCACAUGCUGCUCUAAAACAAGAAACCUGCCUUUUGCAAUAAAAGCUAGAUCUUCUCUCAAUGAGUUUUUGGAACCAUCUCUAGAGGCACUAUUGUUCUUUUCCUCUUUACUUUGUUUCUCAUCUCCAUCCAAGCUCUUACUCUUUUUAUUUUCAAAUAAUAUACAAAUAUUCUAUAAAGUUUUGACUUUUGAGUGUAAAUUGCUUGCAAGAAAAAGGAGAUGCCUGGUCAAAUUAUCUGUGGCACAACAGGUUUGUACCAUAAUUACAAAAAAUUACUAGCAAGAAGACAUCACCUAAUCAGAUCGACUUCCUAGCAUAAUCAACCUGAUUGGAUGAUCACCAAAACCCAGUCCGACAAUAUCCUGAAGAACUUGGACCUUAGAAACAUAUAUCAUGGCAUCUGUGUAUCCAAUUUUGAACAGAGUUCCAUGUCACAAUCCAAGAAAUCAAGUUCUGAAGGAUUCUUUAAGAUUGGAAGUUUCUUGCACAUCAAAUGUUUGCGUCUCUGCAACAUUAACAUGACCAAUAUACUAUCUGUCUUAACAACGUUGUAGCCUGCUUUUGUAUACAUAUUAAAGGGGGCCGAAUCAAUCAUUCUGCAAUGCAAAUACACCUCUCUUAAGCAACUCAUCUGAUAAAUUAAUUGCUCACUUGCCUUCAGAAGACUCCAACCAAUGCCUCCCUUUGAAGUUCCUCAGAUAUACGCUCAGAAAUCUAGUCUAGUUCAAUACAUUGUACAGAAAUGCUUCAAGUUCCAAAGCUGGUAUGGUAUCUUAAGAGUCAUGGUGUAGAAAGUUAAAUAAUAAUAGAGAACAUAAAAUUAAUGAUGCUGAAUGAUGGUGAUGGGUAGAUCAUGGCAACAUCAUCAAGUGCAUAACAUGUUGCCAUAAGGGCUGUCAAUGGUGAACCACAAGUUCUCUAUAAUCAUAAAAUUAUCAUUUAAUCAUAUUGAGCUCUUACUACAAUUCUCUCCAUAAAGAAUAUGUCAGUUAGAUUCAUUAUUUGUAUAGUUAUUUGAUCUUACAUUUUUGCCGUUUUACUUUCAAUAGGACUCAAGAACCGAAAUUAAUAAGGUAGAUAACCAAAUCUUAGCAUCAGCGCUCGACUGCUAGUGUAAGUUAGAAUUUUGAACGACUAUCCUAAAAUCUUCUAAAUUCUUGAUACCCUACAAUAUAUCAACUACUUGGAUGAAUACUUAAUCAACCUCCUUAAGUGAUUAUUUUUCAUAUUUUGAUUUAUUCGCACUUUCAUAGAUCGUUAUCCUUUCUACCAGGACUGAGAGCUAAAAAUUAAUCAUUUCCAUUGGAAAUAGAAUGACUCGUUAUUCACCACUUUGGUAAAAAGAAAUGCUUAAUUCUUGCAAAGCAGUUCAUGAUGUCAACUAGAAAUGUGCAAUUAGCCAAGACAAGAAAAGCAAUAAACAAGACAUACUAACGAAGUGGCUCCUUAACAGUCAUGUUGCAAAUGUAAGGAUAAUUCUUGGGAGGAGUUGGUGUAGGAGGAGAAGCAUUAGCACCCUUCUUAUCAAAACAAACCUCCACGGCCCCUGGCAGCUCCUCCUCCUCCUCUUCCCCAUCUCCAUCACCCUCAUGUUUCCCUCUAUAAAACCCAACAAGUGUAACAGCAUGUGGCAUCACAGCUCUCCUCUCAAUCAAGUAUUGCUUUACCAGAAACAUUAACAAAGACACAUACCCCACAGGCAACAACAUAGACUCAGCAAAAGACUCAGCCAGCAAUUUAACAGUGAUAUCCAUCUCCUCUGGCCUCAUCACCCUAACCCACAUCGACCCAGUUUCCAGUUCUUGAUAGUAUCUAAAAUUCUGAAGGUUCUGAAGCUUCUCAAUCUCUUCAUUGCUCAAAAACCUCCCUACUUUGAAUGAAUCCUCAAGAUUUGAAUAGGUAGCCGAAGCACUAGUUGUUUCUGUUGUUGUUGAAGAAGAGGGGUGCGACGAGGAAGAAGAGGAGGAUUUGAAAUUGAAACGGUACGAUUUGUGGAAAGGUAAAAAUGUGCGUUUAUGAUUUGGAGAUAAGAAAAAGAAGGGUAGUCUUUGAUGGGGUUGUGGAUCGGAGGAGAGAGUGAGAGAAAAUGAGAGUGAUGCAGCCAUAGAAAGACUGACUUCAGUUCAUCAGUUCUUGGAUUAAUCGGAUGAGAUAACUGGAAACAUCAUCCUCCCGGUUAAGUGGCAGAUUUGUCUUUCACAAGAUCCCAGAUUUUUAUAGUUUAUGAGAUUUUUUUGAAUCAUUUAAUGAACUAUCAACAAAAUAACCCCAAAAAUUCUGAAAUUGUAAACCUUUUGUUUCUUUAUAUGCCAUGCAAUGACCUUUUUGUCCAAAGUGAGGAACUAGUUGCAAGUAAAACAAUUAUGUCACCUCAUUUGCUUCUAUUUUCACCAGAGUUCUCUGAUACAGUCAUUGGAUUUUGCUCCCGAGGGGGUAGAAUUUUCCAGUUCGGAAAACAAAAAUAAAAUUAAAAGGCAGAGUGAUUGAAGCCAAAAUCCCAUCUUCCUCGAGGUAUUUGUUUGAAAACCAAGGGAUAUCUCUCAGCUCACAGGUCAACAUCUUUGAUGAAAUGCAAAAAUUGAAUGGAUUUUCAUGUGCAUUACAGGCCUUGGGUAUUCCUUUGGUUCAUAAUAACAUCAAUUUUUGCUUUUCGCUGGAAACAGUAAUUUUGAGAUGCGAGUUCAUAUUCUGCUCACAUUUGACACAGAAAAAUUAGCAGAGGAAAAUUUUCACCACCU
rnacentral:misc_RNA from 1 species